rfam:Erinaceus europaeus unplaced genomic scaffold scaffold00297, whole genome shotgun sequence
AUACUUACCUGGCAGAGGAAAAACCAUCAUCAGGCAGGUGGUUUUCCCAGGGUGAGACUUGUCCAUUGCACUUGGGAUUUGUUGACCCCUGCAAUUUCCCCAAAUGUAGGAAACUGUAUUGCAUAAUUUCUGUUAGUGGGGGACUGCGUGCACACUCUCCUCUG